CAGCGAGCGGGCCGGCCCGGUCCGUUGGUGGCGGCGCGCGGGGGAGCUAAGGGAAGACUCCGCGCGGGACUCAGGAGUGUGGCGGCGCGGGGGUGCGGGGGCGACUGUCGCAGGCCGAGUCUGUGCUCCUCGGAUCUGCACCGGGAGAGCCGGGUCUGAACCCGGAGAGUGGCGAGCCGCCCUUCUCUCUAGCACCCUGCGGUCAACACUGUCAUUUAUUGCUGGGGCUGGAGGAAUGGAGGGGGCUGCAAUGUCCAAGAAGACUAAGCGCCUUCCCCCACUCCGCCUGGACUGUGGCGGUCACCAGCCGCCCGCGGAGAGCUGGCCUGUUUGUCACUGCCCUGGGAUUCUCUACCGUGCCGCGAUGGGGGAGGGGACACCCGGACUGCUGAGCCCUUCUGGGUGUGAGUUUUGAAGCCUAAUUUUCCUCUUAUUUUCCCCUUGGGGAGACUCUCCCCUCUGGGGAUUUGUUCCGGAUCUGCUCGGGUUGCGAGAACUUGUUGACCAGUGAAGACUGGUAGAACCCCGGUCCGCCCUGGUUCGAAUGUCUGUUUAUUUCUCAAAGUGACUCCUCCUACGUAUGCGGGACCUCGUGUGUGUCCCUUAAGGGGUCAAGGCUCGGUCCGCGCGCUGACAACGGGCUUUCGGGCUGCGGGAAAGUCGGGUGCGCCCUCCUGGGGGCCAGUGGCUCUAUCUAUGCUAAUUUCCUCGGUAACCUUUAAACUCUCUGGAAGCGGCCG
rnacentral:lncRNA from 1 species